rnacentral:rRNA from 1 species
UACAGAGACUGCAAGCGUUAUUCGGAUUCACUGGGCGUAAAGGGUGCGCAGGCGGCCGUGUGUGUCAGGUGUGAAAGCCCGGGGCUUAACCCCGGAAUUGCGCCUGAAACUACAUGGCUAGAGCAUUGGAGAGGGUAGCGGAAUUCACGGUGUAGCAGUGAAAUGCGUAGAUAUCGUGAGGAACACCAGAGGCGAAGGCGGCUACCUGGACAAUUGCUGACGCUCAGGCACGAAAGCGUGGGGAGCAAACAGG